CAGAGGGUGCGAGCGUUGUCCGGAAUCACUGGGCGUAAAGGGCGCGUAGGUGGCGCGACAAGUCAGUGGUGAAAGCUCGAUGCUUAACAUCGAGUCGGCCACUGAUACUGUUGGGCUGGAGCACUGUAGAGGCUAAUGGAAUUCCGGGUGUAGCGGUGGAAUGCGUAGAGAUCCGGAAGAACACCGGUGGCGAAGGCGGUUAGCUGGGCAGUUGCUGACACUGAGGCGCGACAGCGUGGGGAGCAAACAGGAUUAGAUACCCUGGUAGUCCACGCCGUAAACGAUGGGCACUAGAUGCUUGGGGGAGCGACCCCCUGAGUGUCGACGCUAACGCAUUAAGUGCCCCGCCUGGGGAGUACGGCCGCAAGGCUG
rnacentral:rRNA from 1 species